AAAAGAAAAAACCAAAGUUAAAUCUUGAAAGAGGUACCCAUUGUUCGAGAAGAUUUGCAGGCUGAUAUAGUAUUCAGAUUUUGGGUGACUACUACGAAGGAAACCGUAGUCUUCCUCUCGCCAUUGAAGCACAUUCAGCGAUCUCGAAAACAUGUAUAGUCCUUUAGGCCCUAAUCCCAAUGCUCUUUGGUACUGCUGUUCCUAGGUUUGUGUUGGUUUGGUCUGUUUUCCAAGCAUUCCGGACCAGAGGGAAGAAACGAAACAAAAGUUACCUGUAGAAUAGAGUUUUCUGAGCCAUUAAAUUGAAGUGAGGAUGGGAGACCAAGCUAGUGAAGAAUAUCAGAGGUCACUAGCAGCUCCUUUCAUAUUUUUUGUUGUUCUAGCUUUUCACUUUGCUUCUCAGCGGAUUGAUCAAUUCAAGAAGGUUAUCUCCCUCUUUCAUCUCUUUUUUUUUUUUCAUUAUUCUAACAAUUUAAAGGGAUUCAGUUAGUGAUGGUAAUAUUGUUUGCUUUUGGACGUUUGGUUUGGGAUAUAUCUGAUUUGGCUUACAUUUGCUUGAUUGGAGCUUUGGUUAUUUUAUUUUUAUGCUAUUUCAUGAUAUGGUAAUUGAUAUCCUUUUCCCACUUAUAAUAGGAUUCUGGGAAACAGUUUGUUUAUAUGCACGCAUUAUGUUUAAAUUUAACAUUUUAAGAAGAAUAGUUUCACAUUUCAAAACUUGUUUAAUUCCAUGCUUUUAUGCAGUUGUUUCCUUGAAAAAAAUGUAUAGGAUAGGUAACUAGGUUCUGAAUUUUCAUGUUUGGUUACUGAUUUAUCUUGUUUAGUGAAAAUGAAUA